rnacentral:rRNA from 1 species
UGCGCAGGCGGACUAUUAAGUCAGUGGUGAAAUCUCUCGGCUCAACCUAGAAACUGCCAUUGAAACUGAUAGCCUUGAGUGUAGUUGUAGUAGGCGGAAUAUAGCAUGUAGCGGUGAAAUGCUUAGAUAUGCUAUAGAACACCGAUCGCGAAGGCAGCUUACUAAACUAUUACUGACGCUCAUGCACGAAAGCGUGGGGAGCAAACAGGAUUAGAUACCCUGGUAGUCC